CCUACGGGAGGCGCAGUAGGGAAUCUUCCGCAAUGGACGAAAGUCUGACGGAGCAACGCCGCGUGAACGAUGAAGGCCUUCGGGUCGUAAAGUUCUGUUGUUAGGGAAGAACAAGUGCUAGUUAAAUAAGCUGGCACCUUGACGGUACCUAACCAGAAAGCCACGGCUAACUACGUGCCAGCAGCCGCGGUAAUACGUAGGUGGCAAGCGUUGUCCGGAAUUAUUGGGCGUAAAGCGCGCGCAGGCGGUUUCUUAAGUCUGAUGUGAAAGCCCCCGGCUCAACCGGGGAGGGUCAUUGGAAACUGGGAAACUUGAGUGCAGAAGAGGAAAGUGGAAUUCCAAGUGUAGCGGUGAAAUGCGUAGAGAUUUGGAGGAACACCAGUGGCGAAGGCGACUUUCUGGUCUGUAACUGACGCUGAGGCGCGAAAGCGUGGGGAGCAAACAGGAUUAGAUACCCUGGUAGUCCACGCUGUAAACGAUGAGUGCUAAGUGUUAGAGGGUUUCCGCCCUUUAGUGCUGAAGUUAACGCAUUAAGCACUCCGCCUGGGGAGUACGGUCGCAAGACUGAAACUCAAAGGAAUUGACGG
rnacentral:rRNA from 1 species